rnacentral:rRNA from 1 species
ACGAACGCUGGCGGCGUGCUUAACCCAUGCAAGUCGCACGGAAAGGCCCUGCUUUUGUGGGGUGCUCGAGUGGCGAACGGGUGAGUAACACGUGAGUAACCUGCCCUUGACUUUGGGAUAACUUCAGGAAACUGGGGCUAAUACCGGAUAGGAGCUCCUGCUGCAUGGUGGGGGUUGGAAAGUUUCGGCGGUUGGGGAUGGACUCGCGGCUUAUCAGCUUGUUGGUGGGGUAGUGGCUUACCAAGGCUUUGACGGGUAGCCGGCCUGAGAGGGUGACCGGCCACAUUGGGACUGGGAUACGGCCCAGACUCCUACGGGAGGCAGCAGUGGGGAAUAUUGCACAAUGGGCGGAAGCCUGAUGCAGCAACGCCGCGUGCGGGAUGACGGCCUUCGGGUGGUAAACCGCUUUCGCCUGUGACGAAGCGUGAGUGACGGUAAUGGGUAAAGAAGCACCGGCUAACUACGU